AUGGAGUGGAGCGGAGGCCUGGCGGAGCGGCCGGGCCGCGGGCGGCGGGUGCUGGUGGUGGGCGGCGGCAUCGCGGGGCUGGGCGCCGCGCAGAGGCUCCGCGCGCACCCGGCCUUCUCGCAGCUGCGGGUCCUGGAGGCCACGGCCCGCGCCGGCGGCCGCAUCCGCUCGGAGCGCGGCUUCGGUGGCGUGCUGGAGCUGGGCGCGCACUGGAUCCACGGGCCCUCCCGCGGCAACCCCGUCUUUGAGCUGGCGGCCGAGCACCGGCUGCUGCGGGAGAAGGACUUGUCGGAGGAGAACCAGCGGAUGGAGACGGGCGGGCACGUGGGCCUGCCCUCGGUGACCUACGCCAGCUCCGGGGUCAGCGUGAGCCGCGAGCUGGUGGUGGAGACGGCGAGUCUGUUCCACAGCCUCAUAGACCAGGCCCGCGAGUUCGUGCGUGGGGCCGCCGCGCCCGCGCCCAGCGUGGGGGAGUACGUGAGGGGCGCGCUCAGGGCGCUGGCGGCCGGCUGGACGGACCGCGAGGAUGCCAGGAGGCUGCGGCUCGCCCUGAUGCACAACUUUCUCAACGUGGAGUGCUGCGUGAGUGGAACCCACAGCAUGGACCUCGUGGCCCUGGCGCCCUUCGGGGAGUACACCGUGCUGCCCGGGCUGGACUGCACCUUUCCUGGGGGUUAUCAGGGCCUCACAAACCACAUAAUGGCCUCCUUGCCAGAGGAUAUGAUCAUUUUUAACAAGCCUGUGAAGACCAUUCACUGGAACGGGUCCUUCCAGGAGGCCGCGUCUCCUGGGGAGACGUUUCCCGUGUUGGUGGAGUGUGAGGAUGGAGGCUGCUUCCCUGCGCAUCAUGUCAUCGUCACCGUGCCCUUAGGUUUUCUUAAGGAACAUGUGGACACCUUCUUUGAGCCACCACUGCCCACGGAGAAGGCCGACGCAAUCAGGAAACUGGGCUUUGGGACGAACAAUAAAAUCUUCCUGGAGUUCGAGGAGCCCUUCUGGGAGCCAGGCUGCCAGCACAUCCAGGUGGUGUGGGAGGACAUGUCGCCCCUGGAGGAUGUCGCCUCUCAGCUGCAGGACGUCUGGUUCAAGAAGCUCAUUGGCUUUUGGGUCCUGCCUUCCUUUGAUGAGGAGAGUGGCGAUGCUGCGCUUUUCUCCUGCUGUCUUUACGGCCUGGCUCAAUAGCAGAGGCUCCGUUGUCCCGCUGCUGGCACGCGGUGGUGCUGAGCUUCGUUCCACGUGAAGUCGACGACAGUCUCCGCUCAGACACGUAGUUGGGAAGGGGAGCCGCGUCAAGAGCCCCAGACGACUGUGGGGAUCUCAGCCGAGCGCCCCGUCUUCCGAAUGUUGCAACAUUUCACUGUACGAUAUCAAGCAAUGGGAUUUAUUGACGUCACCGUGAAUCUCAGAAACGUCUCUUGGUGUUGGAACCUUUCGAGCGGCUGGCGGCAGAUAGACGUUUUCUAAAAUGUGAUGUUCGUGUGAGCGCUUCAGUUUCAUCGUUGGCAGGAAACACUUGCAGUUGUUUUCCUCGUGACAGACACGCUGCUCGGUGUCAAGAAAACGUCGGCCAGACACCCGAGCUUGAAUACUAACCACGUUCUUUCCGGUAAAGACGGAGCAGCGACUCAGCAGGCGGCUCAGCCCUCGGCGCAAGGCCGUCCGGACGGCUGCCCCGCGUCAGGUGCUGCCCAAGGGCCUCCCGCCCACAUCUUGUUUGGUCAUUAGAGACGGGCGCUCGAGAGCCGAGGUUUGAUACGGUUCAUCACUUCCACUGCUUCGUGGAGGACGUUCUCAGGUGCAUCUGGCAUUGUUUCCACCGUGUGUGCGGUGGGAAGAGCUCCGGGCCUGCUAGUCCGGGUUGCACGGCGGCCCCGCGUCUGCAAAGGGUGGGCCCGUUCACGGGCCGUGGCCCUUGCACGUCAGCGUGUGUGUGUGUGGACGGAGUAGAAGCAGCAAACAGCUCGGUGCUGGAACCCCGGGGAUCUGCGGCCGCACUUGCAGAGCUGCCCCGGGCACUGUGGGUGCCCCGUCCAGGGCCCGGCCGCAGGCCGUCUCAGGGCUGUCUCCC